GCUAGCUGCUGCUUCUACGAUUGUCCAACAAUAUAUUGACUUGAGCUUUACAACUACUAUGGUGGCAUACUGGGUACAUGGCAAAUUAUGCAACUGAAGGGAGUUGCAUUGUACUUUGGUUUAUAUGGUACAUUAUGUCUUUCAUUUAAACAAUUUUUCUUCUUCCCCCAUUAUCAAAAACUUAUGUUUUGAGUCGCUAUAAAUUUCUUAAGUAAUUGACCAGUUAAAAAU
rnacentral:lncRNA from 7 species